AAGAUCCUUCUGUCUCUGAUCUCUGAUCUCUGACCUGCGUUCUUAGCUGGGACGUCGAGUUCUCCCAGGAUAAUUAUCGACCAGCUGCCAUGUAAGACGUGCCUUUCAGCUUCCACCAUGAUUGUGAGGUCUCUCCAGCCACAUGUAACUUGAAGAAAGGAACAAGGUGUUCAGCUAAUAACGUGGUUUGGGAAGGGAGUUUGAAAAGAGAAGAUAAAGAAAUACUCAUCUAGGAGAGUAGGAGUGUGGAUGGACUAGAAAAAAGAAAAAGAAAUUCUUGGUCCCCAACAUGGAAAUCCAAGAUGCAAGGAAAUCAUAGGCUCUGAAUCACCUGGGGAAGAAACCGCUGCAGACCAAAUUGCAUCUUAGAUCCAUUAAAUCAGAAACUUGGAUUGCUGGAUUCAGGUACAAGUAUUUUUAAAGCUCCCUAAGUGAUUAUAAUGUAUAGCCAAAGUUGAGAACUACUGCUUUGGAGCCACUGGUCUAAUGGAACAAAUUGCAUUGAUUUACUUCCCUUAAUAUUACUAUGUAUAACUAACUAAAUAAGAUGUAUUAUUUUAUGUUUCUUCUUAAUAUUGGCAUAAACCAAUAAAUUAGUGUAUGUAUGUUUCAUUGUUAGAAGAAUAUAUGAAUAUUAUUUUUGUACCAGAUAUUCCAUCAGGAGCAGAAACGUUCACAGAAAAGGGGCACAAAUUUUAGGGGCAGAGUAAGAUGUGAACCAUACAAUCAGCUCUGAGCAUCCUCCUCUGCCCAUUUGCCUCAUAUGGUUUUAAGGAUGGUAAGUGCAGAUAAAGCUGUGAAUGAGAAGAGGAACAGAGCAGUCAUCAUGGAACAUGAGAGAGAAGCUAUGUAUUCAAGGCCCCAGAACCACAAGUAGAAGGAGCCUGGAUCCCAGAUAAUUUUGUGGGUCCCAUAGUCCUGAAUUGCCUGCCCAGGCUUUAACAUGAAAGAGAACAAUUUCUCUAUUUCAUUUAAACCACAGUUAUUACAGGGUCUCUUUCAACAGCCAAACCUAUUACCUAACUAACACAAGUCAUGACCAGGUAGUCUUGCUAACAGAAUAUCUCAUAUUCAAUUAAGUGUUUUAAAUAUAUACCAUUGUUACUGCACCUGAACAACCGAAAACUUCUGUGAGAAGACCAAAAAUCUAUACUUAGUAGAAAUUUUCCUUCUUAAUUUUAGCAUCUACAGAAAUGUGCCCCAUAUUUUGUCCUGUGAAUGACUUUCAAAAGUUCAGACUUGUGUAAUGCCCUAUAAGUUGAACCAAAUAUUAAUUUCUUUGCAAUAUAUAAAGAUUUUAUUUAACAUAGUGUAAUAUAAAGAUAAUAUAUGUCUAAUGUAGUAGAUGUCAAGUACAGUAUGUGUUUGGUAUUUAGACCUUAUAAAAAAAAUUUUUCUAGCUCUUGUCUACCAUGUAGGUAACAUAUUCCCAUUUUAUAAAUAAAGCAAUUCCAGAACAU
ensembl:lncRNA novel transcript